rnacentral:rRNA from 1 species
GAUGAACGCUAGCGGCAGGCCUAAUACAUGCAAGUCGAACGGAAACAUGAGUAGCAAUAUUUGAUGACGAGUGGCGCACGGGUGCGUAAAGCAUAUGUAAACUAUCUUUAACCGGUGAAUAGCACGAAGAAAUUCGGAUUAAUAUACAAUAGUAUGUUUGAGUGGCAUCUCUUAAACAUUAAAGUUCCGACAGUUAAAGAUUAGCAUGCGUGACAUUAGUUUGUUGGUUAGGUAACGGCUUACCAAGGCAACGAUGUCUAGUGGAUCUGACAGGGUUAACCCCCACACUGGAACUGGGACAAGGACCAAACUCCUACGGGAGGUAGCAGUAAGGAAUAUUGGACAAUGGUUGCAACACUGAACCAGCCAGUGCGCGUGAAGGAUGAAGGCCCUAUGGGUUGUAGUCUUUUUUUGUACGGAAAAAAACCUUCUUACGUGUAAUAAGCUGAUUGUACUGUAAGAAUAAGGAUCGGCUAACUCCGUGCCAGCAGCCGCGGUAAUAC